UGAGUAUUACAUGGCCAAUCU
rnacentral:ncRNA from 3 species